rnacentral:rRNA from 1 species
UACGGGGGGAGCAAGCGUUGUUCGGAUUUACUGGGCGUAAAGGGCGCGUAGGCGGCCACCGCAAGUCGACUGUGAAAUCUCCGGGCUUAACUCGGAAAGGUCAGCCGAUACUGCGGGGCUAGAGUGCAGAAGGGGCAACUGGAAUUCUCGGUGUAGCGGUGAAAUGCGUAGAUAUCGAGAGGAACACCUGCGGCGAAGGCGGGUUGCUGGGCUGACACUGACGCUGAGGCGCGAAAGCUAGGGGAGCGAACAGG